rnacentral:rRNA from 1 species
ACGGGUGAGUAACGCGUAAGAACUUGCCCUUUAGACUGGGAUAACAGAGGGAAACUUCUGAUAAUACUGGAUAAGUUAGUAUAUCGCAUGAUAUGCAAAUGAAAGCUACGGCACUAAAGGAGAGCUUUGCGUCCUAUUAGCUAGUUGGUAAGGUAAGAGCUUACCAAGGCGAUGAUAGGUAGCCGGCCUGAGAGGGUGGACGGCCACAAGGGGACUGAGAUACGGCCCUUACUCCUACGGGGGCAGCAGCC